GAUGAACGCUAGCGGCAGGCUUAACACAUGCAAGUCGAGGGGUAUUUAUCUUCGGAUAGAGGGACCGGCGCACGGGUGCGUAACGCGUAUGCAAUCUACCUUUUACAGAGGGAUAGCCCAGAGAAAUUUGGAUUAAUACCUCAUAGUAUAUAGACUCGGCAUCGAGAUUAUAUUAAAGUCACAACGGUAAAAGAUGAGCAUGCGUCCCAUUAGCUAGUUGGUAAGGUAACGGCUUACCAAGGCUACGAUGGGUAGGGGUCCUGAGAGGGAGAUCCCCCACACUGGUACUGAGACACGGACCAGACUCCUACGGGAGGCAGCAGUGAGGAAUAUUGGACAAUGGGCGCAAGCCUGAUCCAGCCAUGCCGCGUGCAGGAUGACGGUCCUAUGGAUUGUAAACUGCUUUUAUACGAGAAGAAACACUGCUACGUGUAGCAGCUUGACGGUAUCGUAAGAAUAAGGAUCGGCUAACUCCGUG
rnacentral:rRNA from 1 species